CAGUAGCCGCGGUAAUACGGAGGGGGCUAGCGUUGUUCGGAAUUACUGGGCGUAAAGCGCACGUAGGCGGCUUGGUAAGUUAGAGGUGAAAGCCCAGGGCUCAACCCUGGAAUUGCCUUUAAGACUGCCGAGCUAGUAGGUGAGAGAGGUUAGUGGAAUUCCGAGUGUAGAGGUGAAAUUCGUAGAUAUUCGGAAGAACACCAGUGGCGAAGGCGGCUCACUGGCUCAUUCUAGACGCUGAGGUGCGAAAGCGUGGGGAGCAAACAGGAUUAGAUACCCCAGUAGUCCCUGUCUCUUAUAA
rnacentral:rRNA from 1 species